CCUACGGGCGGCAGCAGUGGGGAAUAUUGCGCAAUGGGCGAAAGCCUGACGCAGCGACGCCGCGUGAGGGAUGAAGGUCUUCGGAUCGUAAACCUCUGUCAGCAGGGAAGAACGGUCACUGUGCUAAUCAGCAGUGAAUUGACGGUACCUGCAAAGGAAGCACCGGCUAACUCCGUGCCAGCAGCCGCGGUAAUACGGAGGGUGCGAGCGUUAAUCGGAAUUACUGGGCGUAAAGCGCUCGUAUGCGGUAUGUCAAGUCAAGGGUGAAAUCCCCGCGCUCAACGUGGGAACUGCCUUUGAAACUGGCAAACUGGAGUGUGUGAGAGGAUAGUGGAAUUCCAGGGGUAGGAGUGAAAGCCGUAGAUAUCUGGAGGAACAUCAGUGGCGAAGGCGACUAUCUGGCACAUAACUGACGCUGAGGAGCGAAAGCGUGGGUAGCAAACAGGAUUAGAUACCCCUGUAGUC
rnacentral:rRNA from 1 species